AGAGUUUGAUUCUGGCUCAGGAUGAACGCUGGCGGUAUGCUUAACACAUGCAAGUUGAACGAAGAUAAUAGUUCAUUGAAUUAUAAUACUUAGUAGCGGACGGGUGAGUAACGCGUAAGAAUCUACCUUUAGGAAAAGGAUAACAACUGGAAAUGGUUGCUAAUACUUUAUAUGCUGAGAAGUUAAAUAGGUUACUGCCUAAAGAUGAGCUUGCGUCUGAUUAGCUAGUUGGUAAGGUAAAGGCUUACCAAGGCAAUUAUCAGUAGUUGGUCUGAGAGGAUGAUCAGCCACACUGGGACUGAGACACGGCCCAGACUCCUACGGGAGGCAGCAGUGAGGAAUUUUUCGCAAUGGGCGCAAGCCUGACGAAGCAAUACCGCGUGAAGGAUGAAGGCCUGCGGGUUGUAAACUUCUUUUAUUAGAGAAGAUAAUGACGGUAUCUAAUGAAUAAGCAUCGGCUAAAUAUGUGCCAGCAGCCGCGGUAAGACAUAUGAUGCAAGCGUUAUCCGGAAUGAUUGGGCGUAAAGCGUCUGUAGGUUGUUUAAAAAGUCAACUGUCAAAAACUAAAGCUCAACUUUAGGCAGGCAGUUGAAACUUUUAGACUAGAGUAUGGCAGAGGUAGAGGGAAUUACUGGUGUAACGGUGAAAUGUGCAGAUAUCAGUAAGAACACCAAUGGCGAAAGCACUCUACUGGACCAAAACUGACACUCAGAGACGAAAGCUAGGGGAGCGAAUAGGAUUAGAUACCCUAGUAGUCCUAGCUGUAAACG
rnacentral:rRNA from 1 species